rnacentral:rRNA from 1 species
GGAGUCUGGGCCGUAUCUCAGUCCCAAUGUGGCCGGUCGGUCUCUCAACCCGGCUACCCGUCGUCGGCUAGGCCGGCCUCUACCCGGCCUACUACCUGAUGGGCCGCGACCCCAUCCCGCGCCGCCUGGGCUUUCCCGCGCCGGCCAUGCGGCCGGCGCGGCGCAUCCGGUAUUAAUCCCCCUUUCGGGGGGCUAUCCCGGUGCGCGGGGCAGGUUGGUCACGUGUUACUCACCCGUUCGCCACUCUAUGUCCGGCAAAAGCCGGUUUAACCGUUCGACUUGCAUGUGUUAGGCACGCCGCCAGCGUUCAUC